GCGACGCCGCGUGAGGGAUGACGGCCUUCGGGUUGUAAACCUCUUUCAGUAGGGAAGAAGCGAGAGUGACGGUACCUGCAGAAGAAGCGCCGGCUAACUACGUGCCAGCAGCCGCGGUAAUACGUAGGGCGCAAGCGUUGUCCGGAAUUAUUGGGCGUAAAGAGCUCGUAGGCGGUUUGUCGCGUCUGCUGUGAAAGCCCGGGGCUCAACCCCGGGUCUGCAGUGGGUACGGGCAGACUAGAGUGCAGUAGGGGAGACUGGAAUUCCUGGUGUAGCGGUGAAAUGCGCAGAUAUCAGGAGGAACACCGAUGGCGAAGGCAGGUCUCUGGGCUGUUACUGACGCUGAGGAGCGAAAGCAUGGGGAGCGAACAGGAUUAGAUACCCUGGUAGUCCAUGCCGUAAACGUUGGGCACUAGGUGUGGGGGACAUUCCACGUUUUCCGCGCCGUAGCUAACGCAUUAAGUGCCCCGCCUGGGGAGUACGGCCGCAAGGCUAAAACUCAAAGGAAUUGACGGGGGCCCGCACAAGCGGCGGAGCAUGCGGAUUAAUUCGAUGCAACGCGAAGAACCUUACCAAGGCUUGACAUUCACCGGACCGCCCCAGAGAUGGGGUUUCCCUUCGGGGCUGGUGGACAGGUGGUGCAUGGUUGUCGUCAGCUCGUGUCGUGAGAUGUUGGGUUAAGUCCCGCAACGAGCGCAACCCUCGUUCUAUGUUGCCAGCACGUGAUGGUGGGGACUCAUAGGAGACUGCCGGGGUCAACUCGGAGGAAGGUGGGGAUGACGUCAAAUCAUCAUGCCCCUUAUGUCUUU
rnacentral:rRNA from 1 species